UUGGCAAAAUAAAUCAUAUUAAUAACUAUUAAAGUCAAAGAAUUGCCAAAAUUUAAAACCUUGAACGAUAUAAAGCAAGUGACCGACACUUUAUAUCUUACAAUAGAGUGAACAUGUCAUGCCGUCGACUCAAGUCAUGCCGCGAUGGCACUGCAGCUCUUCUCCAGCGCAGAAAGUCUUUUUUAUAGCGGAACAAACUAAGUUAAACUCAAAUAACCCACACUAAGUAAAGC